rnacentral:misc_RNA from 1 species
UUUCCGUAGGUGAACCUGCGGAAGGAUCAUUCAUAAUAAAGUGUUUUAUGGCACUUUUUAGAAAUCCAUAUCCACCUUGUGUGCAAUGUUAGAUCUCGUCAAUCUUGGCGAGAUUUUUAUACAUCAACUCAUUCUUUAACUAAUUUGUCUGAAAAAUAUUAUGAAUACUUAAUUCAAAAUACAACUUUCAACAACGGAUCUCUUGGCUCUC